rnacentral:ncRNA from 1 species
CUAUGGUUAUAAUUUAUACCAUGGCGGAAGGAG